rnacentral:rRNA from 1 species
CCCCUCAAGAUGAGAUAUCCCAUGGAGGAAUCCAGUAAGACCCCUUAAAGACGAUAAGGUAGAUAGGCUUCAGGUGGAAGUGCGGUAACGCACGGAGCUGAGAAGUACUAAUCGGUCGAGGGCUUGACCUG